AAGGUGAGUAAAUUAGCAUUAAUUAAUUAAUUAAAGGGAUGUAUCAAUUGUAAACUGUGAAAAUUACCAGAACCAUACCUUAUGACAUUCCUUGAUAACAUUCUCAAGGUCUUCUGCUACCUUAAUUCUGAAAAAGAAAAAAACAUAUACAGUAAUGAAUAAAAUGUAAGUGCUUACUGCUUUAAAAAAAUUCUAAGUUUACUGCCAUUAAUGCCUCCAAAACAUAGCAAAAAGUGCCAAGCUGUAACUUUUUUUAAUAAUUACAUUUUUAAUAAUUACUUGCUUGAUAGUAAUAUCAUAGUUUCUGUUUUUGAAUUCAGUUAGUCAUCUACAACUGAUUCAUAAAACCUAAUUACUAAAAAGAGUCACUCAUAAAAUGAUAACUAUAGCGAUACAUAUAAAAUAUAUAACGUUAUAUGCUUUAAGAAUCAUUCUAAGAAUAAAUUUCACACCACAACUAUUAUACACCUAACAUUAUAUUAUUCAAGAACAUGCAGAGAAAUCGGACAUACUCGCGCUAUAAAUCAUGAAAGUGUAAACUCCUAGUAAGAUCGCGAGUGCUAGGGUGUCAUUUGGGACAGGGCCUAAAUCCGAGACUGUCCUCCUCUUAAAAACGACCACAUAGGUCGUUUGUGCAAGCAGCAUAUUACGACCUAUUAUUACGUUUUAAAAUCAAGCGCCCUCUAGCGGCCGUAUUACGACAGUCUCGUUUGUCGGGUGUGUCGUCAUCAAAUGACCUUUGACUGUCGUUACCAUCGUUACCACCCAAAAAAAGGAGGCGUGACCCAACAUCUUACCAUGCGUUGUUGUCCAGGUUUGUAAACAAUUUUAUUUUAUGGUUUAUUUUUUAAGGUACUGUUCUGAUUGUCUGCAAUUAAUGUCAAAUUUUGCAGUUUCUUCAUAUCACAUACAUCUCCAGCUCCUACAACAACAUUCAGUGUCCAGCAGCUCUUUAUGAUGCUCUCUCUCUCUCUCUCUCUCUCUCUCUCUCUCUCUCUCUUUCUCUCUCACUCUCUCUCUCUCUCUCUCUCUCAUUUUCGUUUCCUAUUUUUCUGAACUGUAAUUCAUAAAUAAGUCACACAUAUUUUUCUUUCUUUCUCUUGUUCAUCAUGGCAUAUUUUCACAGCUCAGAAUCAGAUUUUGAUCAGUUCUUGUAUUAACAGGGAACUUGUACUCGAAGCUCAACUUGAAGAAGUUUCCAGUGAAGAUGAAGUCCUUCAAAGGUUCGACACAGCUGAAAAGGAAGACCAUGGGCCUGUCAAACCUUGUUUGUGGAGAGGGAUGAAUUUGACCAUCUUGUGUGUUUACGGAGAAGACCAAAAGCUGCUAAGGCAGAUAUUUCCAGAGGAUUUCUGACAGAUUACUGAGUCCUUCUCCAUCAGCUCUCCACAAUAGCAGCCCUUCCAAAAGCAUCCACAUCACUCUCUCUUGUGUGGCACAUCUGCUCUCAGUCGUUAGCAUGUCUACUUGUAUUAUUUCUCCUCUAGUCAACACUCCCAUCUCUACUGUGAACACUCCUGUCACUAUCACCAUCCCACCUACUGUAUUCUAUAUGCCAUAUAUAUAUAUAUAUAUAUA